rnacentral:lncRNA from 1 species
CUGAAGGGCCCGCCGCCCUUCGAGGACCCGCUGGCUUUCGAUGGGCUGAGCCUGACGGGGCACCUGGAUGAGGACUCGCUGCCGUCGUCCGACGAGGAGCUGCUGGGAGUGGGCGUGGGCGCGGCCCUGCAGGAUGCGCUGUACCCCCUGUCCCCGCGCGACGCGCGCUUCUUCCGCCGCCUAGAGAGGCCGGCCAAGGACAGCGAGGGCAGCUCGGACAGUGAUGCCGAGGAGCUGGCGGCGCCCUACAGCCAGGGCCUGGACAACUGAGGCCGAGGCCCGCGCCGGGAGCCAGCUGCUCCCUGGGCCGCAUUUAAUGAACUCGACCUGGCCAGCGAGCUGCUGCAGACGUAGCGAGCAGAGGGCGGCCCUGCGGGGAAGGGCCCAGGAGCUAGAGGAGGCCCCAAGGAAGGAGAGGCAGCUCUGGGCCGGACAUUAGCACCCCAGGACUCCAAUGGACACAGUGACCCUGGACCAGCUGGCCCCUGGCCACCGGGGACAGACGGCUGAGCUGGG